GAUGAAGAACGUAGCGAAAUGCGAUAAGUAGUGUGAAUUGCAGAAUUCCGUGAAUCAUCGAAUCUUUGAACGCACAUUGCGCCUUCUGGUAUUCCGGAAGGCAUGCCUGUUCGAGAGUCAUUAACAACCGUUUCGAUCCCUUUCUUUCAGAAAUUACAAAGAGGAAAAGGGUUUGGUUAUGGUGGAGGAGGGAAAGGGAGCGUUUAGCCUGUAAAAAAAGAGGCUGUGUUCCGCCUGCCCCCCAAAAUUGUACAGGCGGUCGUGUGCGCCCACGCAUCGAGGUGUUGUAAAAGCUGCCACGGCACUUUUCACCUGUGCAGUGCGAGAUUGGCCAGCCGGUUUAAAAACCCCUCCAAACAAUCAAAGGUUGACCUCGGAUCAGGUAGGGAUACCCGCUGAACUUAAGCAUAUCAAUAAGCGGAGGA
rnacentral:misc_RNA from 1 species